rnacentral:rRNA from 1 species
GUCCACGCUGUAACGAUGAGUACUAGGUGUCGGCUGUCAAAGGUCGGUGCCGGCGUUAACACAUUAAGUACUCCGCCUGGGGAGUACGCUCGCAAGAGUGAACUCAAAGGAAUUGACGGGGACCCGCACAAGUAGCGGAGCAUGUGGUUAAUUCGAAGCAACGCGAAGAACCUUACCUAGGCUUGACAUCCCUUUGCAAAGCCCUUAACCGGGCUCCUCUUGUUCGCAAGACAAAGGUGACAGGUGGUGCAUGGUUGUCGU